UACGUAGGGACCAAGCGUUGUUCGGAUUUACUGGGCGUAAAGGGCGCGUAGGCGGCGCGGUAAGUCACUUGUGAAAUCUCUGAGCUUAACUCAGAACGGCCAAGUGAUACUGCAGUGCUAGAGUGUGGAAGGGGCAAUCGGAAUUCUUGGUGUAGCGGUGAAAUGCGUAGAUAUCAGGAGGAACACCGGCGGCGAAGGCGGCUCGCUGGGACGUUACUGACGCUGAGACGCGAAAGCGUGGGGAGCAACAGG
rnacentral:rRNA from 1 species